rnacentral:lncRNA from 1 species
CAGAGACACAGAUGAAUAUUUGCCAUGCCAGAAAAAUUAUCAGUGGACUCGACUGCAGUGGCACACUGAGCACCUGCAGGUCACUUUCUGGAGCAGAGUCAAGGUACGUUCUCCUUGGACCUGGGCUGGGGUGUAUCUUCAGUUACUGUCCCCCUGAAGGUUAAGCAAGUUCUCCAGGUGACAUCAUGGAACGUGUAAACCUCGUGGCUUUCAUAUGUAAGGAGGCAGGAGACACUUUUCACACUUUCAAGAAGCGCAAAGAAGCCCUACCAAGGAAUACCCCAAGUUAUUUUGUUUGCCCCUUGUCUCCCCUCUGGAAAGUGAAGGGUCAAAAUGCCCCACAGCCUUUCUACACUCUAUACUAAAAGGAAAACGAACUGCUUGGACAUCGGACAAACGUUGUCUUGGGUCACCC